rnacentral:lncRNA from 1 species
CUACAUUUCACAGUCUUUCUCCUCGUUUGCACAUAACAGUGAUGGACUGAAUGGUACCGGGACAUGCCCUUCAGCUUGUGCCCAAGGUGCAAUGGAAACAUGCCUGCCAGCACCAUGGAAUCAAGAAGCUAAAGGUCACUGCACAGAAUCUGUCCAUCACACAGACCUUGCCUCAGGAAUGCAGCCACUGGAUCCAUCCUUUGGUGAGCAAUGUAAGCUUGGUCAUUCUGAAUGUCUGUUCUCUCAUCUUGAUGUUUUCCUUUGACAUUAAAGAGCCAAUUGCUGGUAUUUUGCUGGAUUUAGUUUGGAUAGAAUGGAAGCAGUCAGAUUUCAUCCUUUUAUAUAAUUCUAGCCUAGCCCUGGAGACAGCUGUGAAUCCACAGAGGUCUGACUUCUAUUCAUAACUGGUUUCAGUCCUGUGUUGCUUAUUGUGUGUGUCUGAGAUCAGUAAAAAUUAAACAUCGAUUAAAAGUUUUCUGAUGGCAGUAACUGAAAAGGCAAUGGGAUACUCAGAAAUUAUUUUCUACUCCACAGUUUUUUUCAUAAGCUUUUUUCUUAGUAUCUGUUUGCCAUGGGAUCUAUAGCUGCCUGUCUUAUAA